CCCAGAACCUUCUAGCUGCAAGGCAACAGCUCUACCAACUGCGCCACUGUGCAGCCCACAUUACCAUCAAAGUAUCUAAAACUUUUUAGAACCAGUACCUCCAAAUGAACCACCCAAUUCAGGGGAUGCUGCAGGUAACCAAACAAAACCCAAAAUUACAGGAAAGAAGGUCCAAAAGACCCAGUAAACGACGUGGCUUCCAAACAGAAAGUCCCAAGGACCCAGCGAGGCGUACCCAGGAUUUCAGUUUCCACCGAAGAAACAAUAUAAUCCCCAGGUAAGUGAAUCAAUUUCAGGGAAUUAAACAGAGAAAACAACUAACUGGUGAAUAAAACUUGACCUCCACAGGUCUUGCAAAAGAAGUGAAAGUGUAAAAUCAUCCGUAGAGUUGUUUGUAGAACGUCCUCAUCCUCUUACAUGCCGAGCCCUUAGAAACUGCAUGAUAACAAAAACCUCUGUCCAACCAUCCGACCAUUUUCCUCUGCUGUUUCUGGGUCAUGGGGUAACAGCUUCAGAAAGGAGGCCCAGACUUCCCUCUCCCCAGCCACUUCUUCCAGCUCCUCGGGGGGAAUCCCAAGGCGUUCCCAGGCCAGC